rnacentral:rRNA from 1 species
GCAGAAUUCGCCUUAGAGUUUGAUCCUGGCUCAGGAUGAACGCUGGCGGUAUGCUUUACACAUGCAAGUCGUACGAGAGUUUUUAACUCAAGUGGCGGACGGGUGAGUAACACGUAAGAAUUUGCCUUUAGGAGGGGGAUAACAACUGGAAACGGUUGCUAAUACCCCAUAUGCUUUCGAGUAAAAUGGAUUUUCCGCCUAAAGAGAAGCUUGCGGCUGAUUAGCUUGUUGGUGAGGUAAUGGCUCACCAAGGCGACGAUCAGUAUCUGGUUUGAGAGGACGAUCAGACACACUGGAACUGAGACACGGUCCAGACUCCUACGGGAGGCAGCAGUGGGGAAUUUUCCGCAAUGGGCGAAAGCCUGACGGAGCAAUACCGCGUGAGGGAUGACGGCCUAUGGGUUGUAAACCUCUUUUUUCAGGGAGGAAUCAAUGACGUGUACCUGAAGAAUAAGCAUCGGCUAACUCCGUGCCAGCAGCCGCGGUAAGACGGAGGAUGCAAGUGUUAUCCGGAAUCACUGGGCGUAAAGCGUCUGUAGGUGGUCAAAUAAGUCAACUGUUAAAUCUUGAGGCUCAACCUCAAAAUCGCAGUCGAAACUAUUCGACUAGAGUAUAGUAGGGGUAAAGGGAAUUUCCAGUGGAGCGGUGAAAUGCGUAGAGAUUGGAAAGAACACCGAUGGCGAAGGCACUUUACUGGGCUAUUACUAACACUGAGAGACGAAAGCUAGGGUAGCAAAUGGGAUUAGAUACCCCAGUAGUCCUAGCCGUAAACAAUGGAUACUAGAUGUUGAACAGAUCGACCUGUGCAGUAUCAAAGCUAACGCGUUAAGUAUCCCGCCUGGGAAGUAUGCUCGCAAGAGUGAAACUCAAAUGAAUUGACGGGGAAGGGC